rnacentral:rRNA from 1 species
CCACAUCAUGAAAGCCGCUUGUACCCGAAGUCGCUGUGCCAACUCGCAAGAGAGGCAGGUGCCGAAGGUAUGGGUGGGUGAUUGGGAUG